rnacentral:snoRNA from 1 species
AAAAAAAAUUUAAAACUCCAAGGGAUAUGUCUUCUUCUUCUAUGUCGAUAUAUUUAGCGUUAACAUAGUGCUAAGAGAUGUAGUUUGAAGUUGAUUAUUCUAUAUUAAUUAACCAGCUUUAAAACCAUCGCUGUUAGAGGUUGCCGCUAAUUUAUUAGGACCGGCUGAUCCAUGAAAUGGUGAUGACCUGAUGUCUGGAACAUUU